rnacentral:rRNA from 1 species
GGUGUAUGAUAUCUCCCUUCGCGGUCCGCCAGGGGCUCUCGCCCGCGACGUCCCGGUCCGGUUACAUUUUUAAUGAUCCUUCCGCAGGUUCACCUACGGAAACCUUGUUACGACU